rnacentral:lncRNA from 1 species
GUGUGACCCUGGGCAAAUCACAUAAUAACAAUAACGAAAAUAAAGAGAGCAUAGGCAGUAUUUCAUAUAAUGCUUUAAAAUUUGCAAAACUUUGCAAAACAUGGUAUCACUGUUUUUUCAUUUAAUUCUUACAACUUUGAGGAAGUAGAUAGUAUUAUUCCCAUUUUACAUAUGGAGAAACUGAAGCUGAGAAUGACCUCAUCAACAUGAAGGGGAGUGGACUAGAGGCACUCUAUAGCUCCUUCAAAUUCUAAAUUCUCUGCAUUAUUUUUUUUCUCUGCCUUCCAUCUUUGGAAAUUUGCCUCAUGGCCAAUCAUAUGCCAGAUUAAGACCACGUCCGGCUGUAGGGGGAGCCCUUAUCCAACAUCUCAAGGGCCAUGAUGCCGGCAGUCAUGAUACCGGAACCACAGGACUGAAUGAAGGGACCCCUUUCCAAGGAGGCGCCUUUGAAAACUCUUCUGUUGGGCCAUUUCAACUGUCAACUGAUCUUGAGUUCUGUUUACAUUAAGACAAUGGUCCCAUGAACUACACUCAUGUGACAGCAAAUUAAUUGGCAAAUGUUGUAUGUGUUCUGACUACACUACCGACCAGCAGUUCCCUGGCUCUCUCCCUCUCCUUGGGCCUACUGCCUGAGAGACGACAAUAUCGAAGAAUGUUAUGUAACCUUAGUUGUUAAAAUAGCAUCAGGGUUUGAGAGGAUUGAUUCUAAUUCUGAAAGAAGUUCCAC